rnacentral:lncRNA from 1 species
CCCAAAGUGCUGGGAUUACAUGCAUGAGCCACUGCGCCCGGCCCAGCUGAAUCAUAUAAUGGAACAAGCCACACACCAGAAGGUAGAAUGUGGCAGUUCAGGCUACAGCAACCAUCUUGGAGGAAAAACUCAAGAGACGGGCAGCAGCGCUGGCUCUGAAGUGUCUGGAUCACGAAACUAAUUCCAACAACCAACUACAUCACAUAGGAAGAUCAUUCAGUAGAGCAAGGCGUCAAAGACUCAAGGACACAAUUUCAAAAACAGAAUGGACACCCAAGGAGGAUAAGUGAAAAAUCCAAUUUUGGCCAUCACCAUGACAUCUCAUUAUUGUUCCCUUUUGGGAGCUAACUCAGCACACACUCACUUUAUCUGACUCGUGUCGCUUGGAAGGGCAAGAGUGCUUCAGGUAAGAAAAUAAAGAUGCUACUAAUAGGACCUGCCCAUGGAGGAGCAAGAUGCACUGCAGCCUCACCUGAUUUAUCUUCAGUAAUAGUUUCCAGGAGAAGAGAGACACAGUGAGAACGAAUUGCAUUCUAUGUAAUGUUUUGCUUCAAAGGAUGCUUUGGCUCAUUUUUCUGCUGCUUGUACAUGCUGCAAAUGAGAAAGUACCUGGCUGACAGUUUGCCUUCUGAUUUAUAGGAAAGGUCAUUUAA